UACAGAGGUGGCAAGCGUUGUUCGGAAUUACUGGGCGUAAAGGGCGCGUAGGCGGCCGCCUAAGUCAGACGUGAAAUCCCCAGGCUUAACCUGGGAACUGCGUCUGAUACUGGGUGGCUUGAGUUCGGGAGAGGAAUGUGGAAUUCCAGGUGUAGCGGUGAAAUGCGUAGAUAUCUGGAGGAACACCGGUGGCGAAGGCGGCAUUCUGGACCGAAACUGACGCUGAGGCGCGAAAGCCAGGGGAGCAAACGGG
rnacentral:rRNA from 1 species